GGCCGGGUCACGGGACACAUUUUUUAAACUAGAUACCCCAAUGAUGAUUGUUUCCAAGUUUGGUUUAAUUUGGCCCAGUAGUUUCAGAGGAGAAGAUUUUUGUAAAAGUUAACGACGACGGACGACGACGGACGACGACGGACGCCGGAUGCAAAGUGAUGGGAAAAGCUCACUUGGCCCUUCGGGCCAGGUGAGCUAAAAACAUGAGCGGUGU
rnacentral:lncRNA from 1 species